rnacentral:sRNA from 1 species
GCGUAAAAAAGGAAAAAAAACCAUUCAAAUAAUUAAGACUGCUACACGGAACAACUAAAAACUACAAGCUAAUUUAACCAGGAGAAAAGAACGGAAGACUAGACAUAAUCAUAAACAGAGUAGAUAGAAUUAGAGAACCCGCAAACCCAAACAACUAGAAAACUAAAAACAUUAAUUCUAAAACCCACAUACACACAUCCACACACACAAGCGAAACAAAGGAAUGAAUUUGUAAUACAACACCAAGAAAGAAUCACCUUUAGCCUUAUAUACAAUUAAAUACAAUUUAGACGCUAGAAAGACAAGACAGAGCAAGAAUCCUAUCAAGAAAACCGAAACAUAACAAGAAAUAUUUGAUGGGCAGUGU